rnacentral:sRNA from 2 species
GGGCAAAAACAGCCGAAUCCCGGAAAAUUACCAACCGGGUACGGGGGAACCAUUUUUUAGGGGUGAAUCCCAACUCACAUCUCACAUCUCAUAGGGUAGGAUAUCUUUUACCGAACCCGUCAGCUAACCCCGGAGGCGAAAAAGAAAGGGGAU